UACAGAGGGUGCGAGCGUAAUCGGAAUUACUGGGCGUAAAGCGCGCGUAGGCGGCUUUGCAAGUCGGGUGUGAAAUCCCCAGGCUCAACCUGGGAACUGGCAUUCGAGACUGCAUUGCUAGAGUAUGGGAGAGGGAAGUGGAAUUUCCGGUGUAGCGGUGAAAUCGUAGAUAUCGGAAGGAACAUCAGUGGCGAAGGCGACUUCCUGGACCAAUAACUGACGCUCAGGUGCGAAAGCGUGGGGAGCAAACAGG
rnacentral:rRNA from 1 species